rnacentral:tRNA from 1 species
ACUUAGGUAGUUUAAAAUGUUAAAGAAUUAUAAUUUGUGGUAUUAUAGGUGAAGUUUAUCUCUAGGUU